rnacentral:rRNA from 1 species
GGAAGCGCAGUAAUGCGUUAAGCUAACCAGUACUAAUUGCUCGUGAGGCUUGAUCCUAUAACAUUA